AAGAGGAAGGGUGAAGAGGAGAGGAAGAGAGCCAGCUGAAGGACUGUCAGCCUCCCUCACUGAGCUGGUCCUGAAAGGCACAAUUUUUUUAGAGCUCCACCAGGCUCAGGACUUGUAGCCCCAGGAGGUCCUGGUCCCCAGGGUGAUGGCAGUCCUCUGGUCACAGCAACCAUCCAGGAAAGACUUCUGUCCCUGGGCAGUGAGGUCUGGACAUGAUGAAGGCAACUCUGAAUCUUUGUUCAGGAUGCGUCUUUUCUUUUGGGGACAGAGCUUAUCCCACCCACAUUGGAAAUUGUCUUCCAGUGGUCCGCCUUGGAGAGGUUUGGGGAAGACGGCAGCUGAGACUUGACAGGCCCUGUGUCUAUCCAGUUUCUGUGUCCUGAAGGCACCUGGCACCAGCACCUCCUGGGCUGUGUCGCUCAGGCCCCAUUCCCACCACCAGGAUGAGCCUCAUCAGCGGCUGAGCUGACUUGAAACUUCGGGCUAUAAGAAGUGUCCUUCGAAAGUCCUCUCCACCCAGUACAGACUAGCCAUCCCUCGAAGGACAGUUCUCCAGUGUUUUAUAAUCUCUCUUAACAGUCUUGUCCUCUGUUCUUAAACUAUUGCAGCUAAAUAGGUUUUCUCUUCCUAGUUCCUCUCCCUCACUAAGCUCUUUUGAAUUUACAUCACACCCAAAUGGUUUUUUGCUGCAGUUAGAGGAUCAUUGGUGUUAUUACGUCUCAGGGAUGCAACAGUCUUACCUUUCAUUUGCUCCUAGCUCCCACCUGGCUGUAGCCCAUCUUGCCCAGAGUCUUGUUCCUGUUCAGUGAACCCAACUGAGCUGAGACACACAAGAGGUGUUAAUGUUCUGUGAAUUGUGGUGUGUUUCCCAAAGGCUAUAGGAGUUGAAUGGGAAUUUCCCUUAUGUAAUGAAAGGGAAUUUUGAACACAUUUUACUCUGAUGAAAGCGUAUUUUUGUAACGUGUAACUGUGUCUACGACUUGCCAGGUGGAGCUCUGCCUUCUCUUCCUCAUCCUCUUUCUCCCAUCUUCAUCCUGUAGUUCAUCAUGGUAACUGGCAGGUGGCUACAAUUACAUACAGAGCUGCACGUGCGGGUGCACACACAUGCCAAGCUAUUCAUUUUCAUUUACAAAGUUGCCAAAAAUAAAUGAAUGAAUGUUUGGAUGGAGGAGUGAAUGACCAAAUGAAUGAGAGUGAGUGAGUGAGGAUGGAGGACACUCAGGAGCAGUGACUGCUAGAAACUAGAUUAUUUGUAUAUACCUCAACUGUUCAGAACGUCAAGGAAACAGAUUAUGGGAGCGACAAAAAUAUACCAUUUAAAAAUAUACCACUUCAGUGCAGUGGUAGAGAGUAUCUGAAAUCACAAACAAAAGGGAAGAAAGUGAAAGAAUAGGGAAAGCACUAGGUGAAGAAGAGGGGACAGGAUAAAGAAAAAGGGAAUAAAAGAGCAGUUUAUGUAACUAAUUCCGGGACAGGCUAUUUGUUCAUAGGCAUUAAUGUAGCCUUAGAUUCAUGUGUUUCUGAGUGCCCAGUACACGCCAGGCUCUUAGCAAAACAUACUUACAUACACACAACUCAUUUAAGACUCACAUCAGCCCUGGAAAAAGGCAUUAUUCUUUUUACCUUGCAAAUAAUUAAAUCAGACCUAUAAGAAACUGAGAUUCACUCCAUCUCACAGUCCUGUAUCUGAGGAGGGUGUUUCAGCGCCUCCAGUGAUGCUUGGGGAGCCUUAAGAAAAGCUCCUAAGGCUUAGAGAAUGCCCGGAUCUCUGGAAGUGGUUUUCUGAAGAAACCAAAAGGAAAAUUGAGAAAGAGUACUUGGCAUUCAUUCUCUAAAGGAUAUGAAAAGAUAUGGCCUUCAUAAAGCGGAGCAAAGAGAAAAUGAACUGAGAUGAAAAGACAGCAGAUAUUAUUAUAUGAAGAGAAAGAUAAGAAAAUAUUACAGGGAAAUUAAACAAGCAAUAGAGGAAUUAAAAUUCAUAUUUCCACCAAAUAUUAUCCCACAUAUCAUUUUCUAAUCUCAAAGGGGAAAUAUAUAUUUAUGAUAGAGAGAUUGUUCUCACCUUAACAACACAAUCAAACUUAGCAUCAUGAAUAAUGAACAUGGGAGAAUAUGAAGAAUACAGUAUCACUAGGAAGGAUUCUUGCCAAAAAUGUUUAAGCAGACUCAAGCACAUCUUGAAACCAGGCUUCCACUUGAUAGCAAUUACAGGGGUGGAGGAGCAAGCUAAAUACAGCAGAAGGAUAAACAAUCAGGUAAAAUGUGGGAGAGCCUACAAGGUAAUUCACAAAAAAGUGUGGUAAGGGGAGGAAAAACCGUUCUGGGUUAAGAGACUAAAGAGGGAAACCAGCGAAAAGCAAUGUAUUAACUCUGAUUUUGUACUGAUUUGGGGGGGAAAGGGGCAUUUGCGGACAAUGGGGGAAGUUUGACUAUGGACUGAUUGUUAGAUAUUACAAAAUUAUUACUAAAUGUUUAAAAGGUGAUGCAGCAUUGAGAUUUUAGAGGAGAGCUGCCUUACUUUUAAGAGAUAUGUGUUGAAGUACUUAAAAGGGACAUGUAUUAUUUGCAAUUUAUUUUCAGAUGGAUCAGCAUUCAAAGUAUGCAUUUAUUACAAAUAAACAAAAUGAUUGAAGCUA